AUGGAAGGGGUGGAGGGGAUGUUGCGGGGGCUGAAGCUCUCGAAGGAGGAGAAGAAAGGUGUCAAGAUUAGACUCUCAGUGAAGGAGAAGGGGAAGAUGAUGGAGGUGCAAGCUGUUGGCAAAGUCAUGUCGGAGAAGAUGGCGCAUCCUGAUGCAAUCUCGCUCUCCCUAGGCAAGGUGUGGUGUCCUAUCAAAGGGAUCAACUGCAAGGAGAUAGGCGUUAACCAGUUCGUGUUCACGUUCCACCAAGAAUCUGGGAAGAGGAAGGCUUUGGAGGAUGGGCCCUGGAUGUUUGAUAAGGACCUCGUGGUGGUGGAGGAUUACGUGCCUAGAAAGAGACCGGAGGACUAUAUGUUCAACAACAUCCCAAUUUGGAUUAGGGUUUACAAUCUCCCCCUAGGC
rnacentral:rRNA from 1 species